rnacentral:misc_RNA from 1 species
GAUUAUUCCUGUUUUGGGUUUAAACAGAGAAAAUUGAAUUGAUAAAUAUGAUCUGUGGGAGAUACUGUAUUCACGUUGGCUUUAGUGAGCUUGUGAGCUGAAAUUCUGUUUUGUUCCGAAAGCAAGCAAAUUGGUUGAGACAAGUAGGAUUGAGCUUAGUUCUGGCUUUACCAACACAAUUGUUAUGCUUUGAGGUUAUUAGUCUAUUUUUCUUUGGGCGGUGAUGCGUCCAAUGCUAGAGAAAUGCUUGCUCAACAGGUGCAUUUUAUGUCAUUUCUUUAUAGUAGUGUUUUCCCUUGGAUUAGAGCAGUAUAGAGAUGAGCCUGUUGCAUUUGGGAAGCUAAAAACAGAUUAUUAUUCUGAAAUCAAUAUCACGCCGUAUUAUCUGGAAUCAGGAUCUCAAUUAUUGAGAAAUAAUUCAGUUUCCUGUGAGGAUCUUGAAGGAGUUGGAUCAUUUGAUACAACGUGCUUGCUGAAUUCAAACUUGUAUAUAGAUUCUGACUUGUAUGUGUUGGGUACUGGGAACUUGGAGAUACUUCCUCAGGUUUCUAUUAACUGUCCAAUUCAAGGCUGUAUUAUAAGUUUCAAUUUGUCUGGCAAUGUUAAAGUUGGGCAAGAUGCAAGAGUUCUAGCUGGUUCUGUUAUUUUUUCUGCGCUCAGUCUGACGUUGGGACACAAUUCUUCUAUAAAUACUACUGCAUUGGGUGGAGAACCACCUUCUCAGACUAGUGGGACGCCAGUUGGGUAUGAUGGUGCUGGCGGAGGGCAUGGUGGACGAG